rnacentral:rRNA from 1 species
UACGUAGGGGGCGAGCGUUGUCCGGAUUUAUUGGGCGUAAAACGCUUGUAGGUGGCUACGUCAAGUCGGACGUGAAAUCUCCCGGCUUAACUGGGAGGGGUCGCUCGAUACUGGCGAGCUCGAGGCAGGUAGGGGGAAGCGGAAUUCCCGGUGUAGUGGUGGAAUGCGUAGAGAUCCGGAGGAACACCGACGGCGUAGGCAGCGCCCUGGCCGUUUUACCUGACGCUGAAGCACGAAAGCUGGGGGAGCGAACAGG